CACAAGCACCUUUCUAUGAGCACUCAUUGCUUUUACCCCAAAUAGUCACAAAUAUCCCAGGUUUCUUUCUCUGUUCUUUCUUCUACCCAUUUGUGUACCUGAUAUCCUUCUCUGUUACAUUCACAGUGUUAGGUGAAUUUGAUUUACACACACACACACACACACACACACACACAUGCAUGCAUGCACAGACACACACCUGCUCUCUAUUGGCUUUAGUUCUUUUUGGGUGAGCUUUUAAGAAAUACUUGUGAUAAAUUGAAUUAUCCUAUAUGACAAUAUAGUGAGAAGAACAUGAAAGGGAAAGUACUAGCACCUGACCUUGGAAUUUGUCCAUAAGAUGAGACAGAGCACGGCAAAAAAUGGCAAACGAGAGAAUGAGUGAAGCCAAAGAAAGGUAGUAGUGGUAGCCAGACAUGAAAGCAACAGCGAAACAAAACAAAUGUUUCAGUUUGAAAGGGAUAAAAUUUGGGGUUGGGAGAAUUAGAGGUGUUGAAGAUUAUGAUAGAAAAGGGAAAGCAAUUGAUUGGGCCUUUGAAACCAUGCCAGGAACCAAGAGCCAGGGGCAGUGGCAGAGGGGACGGUCAGGUAGGACAAUUAAAACGGAAAUCUGGCUCCUUACAGCACAGCAUGGAGCGGGGCUACAGAAUUUGCUGCAGUGGGAGGUGGGGCCAGUCUGGCACAGUCUGUGGGUUUGAAAGGAGCUGGGCGGGUUAGAGAAUGCCAGUUAGUCUUUGUAGUUCUGAACUCAGAGAGGAGGUGACAAAUACUGGGCUUCAGGUCAGAAGCCUAGCCUGGGUGGCUUUUGGAGAAAUUUCCUCUCAGCUCCUAAACUCUUGAAACGUGCUCAUCACAUCACUGGGCUCCAAUCACAGCAUAAACACGUGUCUUGGAGGCUGUCUGCCAGCAGAUUUCAGCAGUGGUACCUGUUGGCUGACUGGUGGGGUCCUCUCCCUUUCCUGUGUCAUAGAAGCCGUCCACUGGGCUGAAUACGAUAUCUUUGCACAUUUUCCUUCACCUUUCCCACAUGCUUGCAUCUCCCAGACCCCUAGGGUUAAUCCCCAGGACAACCUUGCUUUGAAAGAAAAAAUGUGGUGAGUCUACUUGAAGAUUUGGAUCCCAGAGGCCCCUGUCUGUCCUGCCUCUGCCAGACCCAGACAAUCAGCUCAAGGAGAUGGACGUUCACAGAGAAAGCACUGGUCCUAUAGCACCCUGUUCAGGAAUGUCUCCCCAGUGAAAGGACAGAGACUACAGAGACUGCUAUGUUGAUCAACCCUCAUGCCAACUGUGAAGUUGAAACAAAGAAAGUGACAACCUGAAGAUAUCUCUCCUGUCCAGCAACAAACCCAAAAGGUGCAGUUUCAACCAUUAAAAUUCUCAGAAAAAGAGGCAAUUGUUCCAAGAAACAUAAAAACCCAGUAAUGACACCUAGAUCUCUAACAAGCCAAGAAGAACAUUCCCUUCCUUCUGUGUAUUCCUCUGUUUGUAUUUAAAUUCAUGUGACAUUAAUUUUUUUCCUAGUAUGGAGAAACUUCUUAAUGUACACAUUUUAAAAUCUAAAUUUACACAAAUGUGUUAAUAUGUUAAGGAACAAAAUUGGUGCUAUGAGGAGAAUGAUUUUUAGUCAUACACAGAGUUUAUUCUUAAGAGUAGCAUAGAGAAUUGAAGUACUUUUGAAAUGACAAAGUAGUCACUGGUAAUUUAAAGGAUAAAAGAAUGGGAGAAACUCAUGCUGGAGCUUCAAAAUACCACAUUAUUCCACCUUAUACCAGCCAGUAAACCAUUACCUUUAUCAAGCAAGCUCAGUUCUGUGAGAUAUGAUUAUUGCUUCUAAGAACUUUAAUCUAGAUAGAUAUGUAACUUUUUACAUAAACUUUUGAAAAGGUAAGUAACGGGUAGGUUCAGUAGAUAACAACAAAAAGCAAUGUAAAUGAUGAACUCAAAAGAGGUCUCAAUAAGGUGGGCAAAACUAACUUUCUUAGUGAAGGAAGUUUCCAAAAUAGGAAAGUAGGAGAUUAUUCUUGAAGGAUGUCAAAAAUAUAGAUGGUAUAAAGGUAGAAGAAAACAGAGUCCACUAGGUACACAAUAUUGUAAGCAAAACCUUGGAGAAGGAAAUCCACAUGGUAAAUUUAGGAGAGGAUGAAUGCACGUGUUGAUUUCACGUAACUCUAGGCACGCAGUACCUCUGUGUACUGGGAAAAACUUUGCACACAUACACCUCCCCUUUCAAUCCCCUCCUGCCUCCACCAAGUUUCACCUAGAAUUGUAUUUCUUUGCCAUUGUAGCACAAGAAGGUGAUUGGUGGUAAUAUGGAGAACUUGUGACUUUUCUGUUGAUAAUAAUUACUAUAUAUUGACUUCUCACUCUAUAUUAAGCAUUUUGCAGACUAACUCAAGCCUCAAGAUGAGGAUGCAAAUUAGAUAUUAUUAUCCUCAUUUUAUAGGUAAUAAAACUGAAGUUUAAUAAAAUUAUGUAACUUGACAAAAUGCCACAUAUGCUGUUCAUAUUUAGGAUUACGAUGACAAAGUUCAUGAUUUAAAGCACUAUCUCACAAUAUUGUGAUCAAUGUCAACAAUAUUGCCCUUUUUCUAUAUUCUUUGAUUGUCUAUGGCAAAUUAUUAUUAAUAUUAUUAAAUUAUCACCUAAAUCUUAUUAUUUUUCUGGAUAAAUUACAUUAGAGUGCUAGAAUGUAUUUUCAUUUAAAAAAGGAAAAAUUUGAGAAGUCGAGCUUUUCAGCACUUUAGACCUUUCUUUUCUGUUUUUGGCAAGACUUUGGUGAGACUUUCUACUUUGUUCUGCAAGAAAUCUCAAAUCUUUGAGAAUAAAAAUGGAAAAGUGUUUAUGUCACACAUUGCAAUGUCCUUUUUUACAGACAAGAUGAAUCUAUAGCCCAUAAACUUGGAGUGACUUACAGAAGUUCACAUUUGGCCCUUGCAGUAGACCAAAGACUAGAAAUAAGUCCCUUCAGUUUGGUCCACUCUCAGUGCCACUUGAACUAUGCCGCUCUGCAUAAAUGAAGCAUGAACUUGAAUUUGAUUAAAGGAAACAAUACAUCUAGGUAAUCAGGGAACAAUGUACAUAGUAGAUUGCUUCAAUUUUGUAUUUCUUUGCCAACUCACUUCAAUGUGAAGAACAGCUAGCCAUGAACUAGGAGCUUUAAACCCAUAAAUUGUCAAUCCAUCCCCCAGAAAACACAAAAUGACCAAAGUUUGUGUUUUCAAUAUUGUGUACAAUAUCUUCAAUAAUAUCAAGUUAUUUGGAAUUCUUAGUUUACUGGCACAAAUCAAAUCUUAACCAACUUUGUGCAGAGUAUACAUUUGUAAGUGGAUCUGCAUGAAUGCUUAUAGAUGACCAUUUCAAUAGUGCACUUUUAAAAAUAUCAAAUCAUUUGCUCUUAUAAUCUUCAUUUAUCCACGUAACUAAAGAAUACUUUGGCUAUGAAAAGAUAGACUUGAGAAAUCUCACUCUUCUUUACCAGCAAGUUUGCCUUUGGGCGGUGUUUAAUAAUGACUCAGAGCAUUAUUACUGCAUAGCAUAGAGAUUCAAAAUGCAAUUCUGUUUUAGAGGAACCAAUCAAGCUGGAUCUAUUUGAGGAUAGACAUCUUCAUGUUUGGAAAUACCAGAAUAUUUGGUCAUUGUAAAUGUCCACUUAGAUAUGUGGCAUUGUCACAUUUAGUUCUUUUUCCUUGUGGUGGUUAUUAUCCUGUUUACAAAAUGAUUGUUGAUCAUAUAUCAUGCCAUUCUCAUUGAGUUUAUAAAUAAAACGUUUUUUUUUAAAGGUAGUCAAGCUCAAAAUGUGACUUUGCUGACAUUUUAUGAGACUCUGUCAUAUGUCCCUAACUACCAAUAAAAAAAAAAUGCUAUAUCAACUGUGAACUUGUGUUGAUUUCUUGGGAAAAAAUGCUCUCAUAAUUUAUUUUCUUAUGUUCAUAUAUAUAUAAAUAUAUAUAUAUAUAUUUAUAUAUAUAUAUAUAUAAUUUCAGGAUCCACAAGGAGGAAAUAAUCUAAUGUGCUAAGAAAAAUUAAAUUUAGUGACAAUUUCUAAAUGAUCCCAUGUUAUCUUUAAAUAAAUAGCACUCUCAACUACCAUCUACUUAGGACAGAAAUCAAGGUGUGGUCCUUGUCUCUUCCCUUUCCACUUGCCAUGGGAGAUCAUUCAGAUAAUUCUUUUGAUAUUUUCUUCUUUCUGUUAUUCAAAUAUGUCUACUUCUUUCCAUCAUCUGUUAUAGUAAAGAUAAUGCUCAUUUCUCCCCUGGCUUGCUAUGUUUGGCCUCUAGCCACAAAUAUCACUCUGUGGUUUCAAAUUCUCCACUGCUUCCCAUUACCCUGGAGAUACCAUGAUAGAUAAAGCCAUUUAUGUCCUAAAUCCUAGACCCAGCAGUCUGCUCAUCAAUCUUCAUUCUCAUUUUUUGGUAGGUACAAACCAUCUAUCUUUGCCUUUCCCUAGCAUUCCCUGUAUAUUCUCAGCUUUCCCAUACAUAUAACCUUCUGUCUAGUACUCUCUCCAGUAGUUCCAGACUAUAUUCACAUGUCUCUCAGCCUCAUCCCAGCAUCCAUUUCCUCUUGAAAUUCUCCCCCAACUCUCUAGAAUUACCUUCUGCAUUGUAGAUGAAUCAUGAAAUUGUGUGCAUACCUCUUCAUAGGACUUACCACCAAUACAGUGAUGACUUCUGCACUGGUCUCCUCUAUUUGAAUAUGAGAUUCUAGGGUCACACUGUUUAACCUCAUAAUCACUCUCCAUAUGUGGCAAUUUCAAUUUCAAUUAAUUAGUAUUACAUAAAAUUAAUUCAGAGCUGGGUAUGGUGGUUCACACCUGUAAUUCAAGUGGCCCAGUAGGCUGAGGCAGGAGGAUUGCAAAUUUGAGGCCAGCCUGGGCAAUUUAGCAAGAUCCUACCUAAAAGAAAAAGGCCCUGGGUUCAAUUUCCAGUCACACACACACAGACACACACACACACACACCAUUUCUCAGUUGCACCAACACACUUCAAGAGCUCAGUAGCCAUGUAAAACUAGAAGCUAUCCCACAACAGCAUAGAUGCAAAACACUCUUAUGGAUACAGUUCUGUUGCAUGGUGCUGUUCUAGAAAAUAUAUUCUAUAUUUUGUCAGUCAUUUCAUCCAGAAGAUUUUAAACUCAGUUUGUCAUUUGGACCACAGGUUACAAAAGAUGAUUUGAAAGAUUAUUUUCUCAAUUAUCUCAAGGAUGAUAUUUAACAAAUACUAUACUAUAUGCAAAGGAAGAAGAUUAAUUCAUUGGAUGUAAAGAUAUCCAGGGCAUUAGGGUUUCAUUCUAGCGUAAAACUCUAGUUGAGAAUGUCUACAACAGCCAGUCAAAGGAUUUGGUACAAUAUAAUUAUCUGCUGAAUGAAUGAUACACAUAGAUUUAAUUUUAUCUAUUUCUAUCUAAAAGUGUGGACUCAUGUAGGACACGUGUCUUUAGAUUUCAAGGGGCCCCUUUUCUAGAAAAUAUUGUGAUAAAUGAUUUACUUUCCUCUCAAGGACAGAAGAAUGGUGUGACCGAUAGGAUUACCUAUUAUUUCACUUUCUAUUGAUAUUUACACAAGCAAGCAAUUGAAAAUAACUGAGCCCUCAUUCAGUAGAUGAGGUCAAAAUGAAAAUGAUCCCAUUAGAUACCAGAUUUGAUAAGCCCUAUUUAUUUCAAAAAAUGCCCAAAGUUUACUGAAAACAUUAAUUAUCUACUGAGCACCUAUUAUGUCCAGGCACGUUGUCAAGUCCUAGGGGUGUAGAAGGGAACAGGAAGGACACAGCUCUUAUAUUCAUAGUGAGUAGCAUUAAUAUAAUUAUUUUUGUUCUUCCUUGCCUGGUACCCAAAGCAGGAGUGCUCAUACUUGGCUACAUAUUCUAACCACCUAGGGAGUUUAAAAAAUACUCAUACUUGACUCUCUUCUGAAUAGAUUCUGAUUUAAUUGGUGUAGGGUGUGGCUGGGAAUUGGGAUUUUUAAGAGGUUCCUUUGAGAUUGGAAUGUGAAGCCAAAGUUAAAAACUGUUGACCUAUGGGGAUAUAAUCUUAAAAUGAUCUCAGAAAACUAAAAGCUUUUGUUAUUAAUAGUUGGUAGCAUAUUAGAACAAAAAGACUUUAAAAUCAUUUAACAUAUCUACAUUUUGCUUUCUAUUCCUCAGAAUAUAAACCAAUACUUAGUUGCUGAGUUGUCUAGGUCAAAUAGUUCAUUACUAAGAUGAGACCUAACCCUAGAUUUCUGAUUUUAACAUAAUACACUACUUGCUACACUAAACUGUCUGAGAGAAAUAGAAAAUAUAAUUAUCUUCAAAUUGAGUGACAGAAUCCACUAUGGUCAUAAUUUUUAAGAGUCUAAUUUGAGUUAAAUUCCAUAAACUCGUAUAUACAAGUAUUUCUGAUACUCAAAUAUAUGCACCAUAGAUUAAUUUCUCUAAAAUGCAUUUCUUUUAAAAAUGUGUAUUCAUAUGCAUAUAUGUACAUACAUAUAAAAAGACACAUAUAAUGCAUAUAUGUUACAUAUUAUAUUGUACAGAGGAUAACUCAGUUCCCCAGGAAUCCUAACAACGUUUUUAUAGAUUCAGACCUCAAUAUACAUAUGUUAAACUCCACACACAACUAGGAAGGAUAUCUUGCUUUAAACUUGAAUUCCUCAGUAACAAAAAUGGUUGUAGGAAGAGAAAGUAAGAGUGUACUGUGUGUUCGCAUUCUCUGUCCCCACCUACUUUAUUAUAUGACAUUCCAUUCAAUUUUACAUUUCACAAUACAGGUAAAAAUUCCAGUCUCUCUCCAUGAGAAAGAUUGACAUUAAAAACUGCUAUAGAAGUAGCUACCUUUUUAAGCUAUCACUUGUCCCAUUUUUAGAUUCUACACAUAGAUCAAAAGAAUCCAUGAACUAUGUGAGGCAUCUAAUCUACUCUUCAUCAGUAUAAGACACAUAGUGAAAAUGUGUCUUCUCACUUUUUGAAAAUCUCAAAAUAAAAUGAAUACCCACACACUUCCUUCAAAAUGCAUUUCACUGUUCGAGAGUCUAUACAGUUGGGAAAUUCUUAUUUCUAUUCCAAAUCCCUCAAGCUGUAGUUUAAUCCCAUUUUCUCUAGUUUCCCACAGAGAGAGAGAACAGCUGGCUUCCAUUCUUUUUAAACUCAAUCCCUUCAUAUCCUGAAAGACACCUACCUCUCAGCCUUCUUUUUGCUGGAAUGAAUCCUAAAAGUUCCCCUCAGUAAAAUGUCUCUUUUGGAUUCUGCAUAUUCAUUGCCAUAUCACAUAUAUUCAUGUUCAUUACAUAAUGUUCAUAUCAAGCCAAGGACAAGCACAAAAACAAGGAAACUCAUCAUUGUUUUCAUGAAUGAAAUUACAGAUCCAAUAAAAAAACACUUAAAAAUAGUUGGGAAUGAUAAUCUUCCAAAAUUAUCCUAAUUUCUUUUUUUUAAUCCUAAUUUCUUUUAGAAAGUAUUGACAAUUUGUUGCUUUUGGAGAGGAGAAUUAAAAAUUAAAUGACUGGGUUUCAAUUUUCUUUAUACAAACUUUCCCCAAGCCCUGCAAUGGAAUAUUCCACUCAGCAUUCCACAGCAGGAGCCACCAUUGCUCUGACAAAAAUAGAUACAGUAUUGGAACAUUAAGUCAAUGGAGUAAUCCAAUUGUCUGAACGUUCUUUUCUACUUUGUCAUUUAUAUUUUAAUAAAUCUCAGAAUAUGUCAAGCCCUAUCAAGUUUACCAAGUGCAGUGAACCACAUGCAGUUACCAGAUGCAUUGAGGGCAUCAUGCAACUCCUACAAAGCACCCACAUUUAGUUUAUGAAAAAAUGCUAGGCACACAGUGCUGCUGUCUGGUUGCCAUGGUGACCGCAGCCUAUUAUCCUGCCUUGUCAUUCAUCAAGAAAGAAUUACACUUGACAGAGGCAGAGGAAAAUGCCUGCAGUCUGCAGCAUAGGAGAAAAAAAAGCUUUUCUUGUCUUCUAUGUAUGUAAAGGGCCUUUAAUGCCCAUUUAGUUACAUGUUUUAUUUAGCAUUAUUUAUUACUUGUAACUACAAUAAUUGAUACCUGUAAAAAAAUACAUCCCCUCCCCCUUAAGUAUUUAACUUGCAAUUUGUCCAUUUGCUUUGCUUUCCCAUUUCAGAC
ensembl:lncRNA